UUCCGCCUUCUUCCCGGGCCUUUGUGCGGCGGCUCCAGGCCUGAAAGGCCCGUGUCCAACACAUGUCUCGGGCGGCGGCCCAGAGAGGCCCCGCCAGCUCCGGCCGCCGCUUCCCGGCGCUGAUAACGCGGGCGGGGGGCGCCGCCGGGCUGCGCGGCCCACAAAGGCCUCGAAUGCCAAGCAAGGGCGCAUUGUGCGACGAGGACAAAGAAGCUCGGCAGGGCGGGGCUCAGCCUGAGCCGCCAGGCCCCUCCCACAGGGCGGAGAGGGGCCCUUUCCCCAUCUCCGAGAAGGGAAACUGAGGCCCAGGAAGUUUCCUCCUCUUAAGAAUGGAGAUACUAUCAAGACCUGCCUUACUGCGGACCCCGCGGCGGCGAGGGUUAGACAAGCGACUAGCAGCACAACACUCGCGAGAGCCACUGGGCACCUGCCGCGUGCCCGGUGAGUCAGCUCUGAUGCUUUUUGCCAGGCCUGCGGGCGGGCUUUACACGCGUAACUAUCUGCAUAGACAGCGCACACAGGCGCGAUAAACACGAAAGGCUCAGGCUCCCGCGUGUCUGGCCUGCCCAGCGCUCCCCUGUGGGCUCAGGGAGGACACCUAACCACACAGAGAGUAAGAAGCAGGGGUGGACACGAACCGGAGGCUGGGCUCAAGAAGCUGACAAUAAUGGGUUAAACCAUUCCUUCCUCUUUCAAGCGGCAUGACACUGGGAGAGUCACUUCUCUCUGUGCUUCAG